GAUGAACGCUGGCGGCGUGCCUAAUACAUGCAAGUCGAGCGAACGGACGAGAAGCUUGCUUCUCUGAUGUUAGCGGCGGACGGGUGAGUAACACGUGGAUAACCUACCUAUAAGACUGGGAUAACUUCGGGAAACCGGAGCUAAUACCGGAUAAUAUUUUGAACCGCAUGGUUCAAAAGUGAAAGACGGUCUUGCUGUCACUUAUAGAUGGAUCCGCGCUGCAUUAGCUAGUUGGUAAGGUAACGGCUUACCAAGGCAACGAUGCAUAGCCGACCUGAGAGGGUGAUCGGCCACACUGGAACUGAGACACGGUCCAGACUCCUACGGGAGGCAGCAGUAGGGAAUCUUCCGCAAUGGGCGAAAGCCUGACGGAGCAACGCCGCGUGAGUGAUGAAGGUCUUCGGAUCGUAAAACUCUGUUAUUAGGGAAGAACAUAUGUGUAAGUAACUGUGCACAUCUUGACGGUACCUAAUCAGAAAGCCACGGUUAACUACGUGCCAGCAGCCGCGGUAAUACGUAGGUGGCAAGCGUUAUCCGGAAUUAUUGGGCGUAAAGCGCGCGUAGGCGGUUUUUUAAGUCUGAUGUGAAAGCCCACGGCUCAACCGUGGAGGGUCAUUGGAAACUGGAAAACUUGAGUGCAGAAGAGGAAAGUGGAAUUCCAUGUGUAGCGGUGAAAUGCGCAGAGAUAUGGAGGAACACCAGUGGCGAAGGCGACUUUCUGGUCUGUAACUGACGCUGAUGUGCGAAAGCGUGGGGAUCAAACAGGAUUAGAUACCCUGGUAGUCCACGCCGUAAACGAUGAGUGCUAAGUGUUAGGGGGUUUCCGCCCCUUAGUGCUGCAGCUAACGCAUUAAGCACUCCGCCUGGGGAGUACGACCGCAAGGUUGAAACUCAAAGGAAUUGGCGGGGACCCGCACAAGCGGUGGAGCAUGUGGUUUAAUUCGAAGCAACGCGAAGAACCUUACCAAAUCUUGACAUCCUUUGACAACUCUAGAGAUAGAGCCUUCCCCUUCGGGGGGGCAAAGUGACAGGUGGUGCAUGGUUGUCGUCAGCUCGUGUCGUGAGAUGUUGGGUUAAGUCCCGCAACGAGCGCAACCCUUAAGCUUAGUUGCCAUCAUUAAGUUGGGCACUCUAAGUUGACUGCCGGUGACAAACCGGAGGAAGGUGGGGAUGACGUCAAAUCAUCAUGCCCCUUAUGAUUUGGGCUACACACGUGCUACAAUGGACAAUACAAAGGGCAGCGAAACCGCGAGGUCAAGCAAAUCCCAUAAAGUUGUUCUCAGUUCGGAUUGUAGUCUGCAACUCGACUACAUGAAGCUGGAAUCGCUAGUAAUCGUAGAUCAGCAUGCUACGGUGAAUACGUUCCCGGGUCU
rnacentral:rRNA from 1 species